rnacentral:rRNA from 1 species
GGUGAACGCUGGCGGCGUGCUUAAGACAUGCAAGUCGAACGGCAGUCUUCGGACUGUAGUGGCGCACGGGUGAGUAACGCGUAACUGACCUACCCCAAAGUCGCGGAUAACGAUUCGAAAGAAUCGCUAAUACGUGAUGUGCUUUCAGAUUGUGUUCUGCCAGUAAAGAUUGAUUGCUUUGGGAUGGGGUUGCGUUCCAUCAGCUAGUUGGUGGGGUAAAGGCCCACCAAGGCGACGACGGAUAGCCGGCCUGAGAGGGUGGCCGGCCACAGGGGCACUGAGACACGGGUCCCACUCCUACGGGAGGCAGCAGUUAGGAAUCUUCCACAAUGGGCGAAAGCCUGAUGGAGCGAUGCCGCGUGAGGGAUGAAGGUCUUCGGAUCGUAAACCUCUGAAUCAGGGACGAAAGACACUUCGGUGGGAUGACGGUACCUGAGUAAUAGCACCGGCUAAUUCCGUGCCAGCCGCCGCGGUAAGAC